rnacentral:rRNA from 1 species
CAACCCCUUGAGAGUGGCGAACGGGUGAGUAAUAUAUCGGAACGUGCCCAGUCGUGGGGGAUAACGUAGCGAAAGUUACGCUAAUACCGCAUACGAUCUAAGGAUGAAAGCGGGGGAUCGCAAGACCUCGCGCGAUUGGAGCGGCCGAUAUCAGAUUAGGUAGUUGGUGGGGUAAAGGCUCACCAAGCCAACGAUCUGUAGCUGGUCUGAGAGGACGACCAGCCACACUGGAACCGAGACACGGUCCAGACUCCUACGGGAGGCAGCAGUGGGGAAUUUUGGACAAUGGACGCAAGUCUGAUCCAGCCAUUCCGCGUGCAGGAUGAAGGCCCUCGGGUUGUAAACUGCUUUUGUACGGAACGAAAUGGUUUCUAUUAAUACUAGGAGCUCAUGACGGUACCGUAAGAAUAAGCACCGGCUAACUACGUGCCAGCAGCCGCGGUAAUACGUAGGGUGCAAGCGUUAAUCGGAAUUACUGGGCGUAAAGCGUGCGCAGGCGGUUAUAUAAGACAGAUGUGAAAUCCCCGGGCUCAACCUGGGAACUGCAUUUGUGACUGUAUAGCUAGAGUACGGUAGAGGGGGAUGGAAUUCCGCGUGUAGCAGUGAAAUGCGUAGAUAUGCGGAGGAACACCGAUGGCGAAGGCAAUCCCCUGGACCUGUACUGACGCUCAUGCACGAAAGCGUGGGGAGCAAACAGGAU